GCGAGAAAAGUGGAUCUUUGAAGUCCUGAAGAUGAUAAACGAUUGCCUGGAAGCCGUGGACAAGGAUCCUCCAGGAUCUCUGGGCAGCAGUGUUGCACCAGAUACUCUAAGAGAUGUUGGUGGAGAAGAAGACGAGGAGGAAGGAAAAAA